rnacentral:lncRNA from 1 species
UAGGAAGUUCUUGGAGGGAAGGAUGCUGGGGGUCUAUUUGAAAACAGACUCUCUAUCACAGGGUAGGGGUAAUGUUUGCGUGCAUACUAUCCUUCCCAAAUCCUUAUAUUAUACUGGGUUAUUGUUGUUAUCGGCUCAUUUCUUUUGGGCAACGUUAGGGAGAGAGGGGUUCACUGAUACGUGAACGUGGACGUCGUUGUUGAGGAUUAAGUAGACGGUGCCGUUAAACCUGAAUUUCCUUUUUUUCUUUUGUAGUUUUCCUUAUUCCCCUUUUUUCUUUACAAACAAAAAGCAAAAGAGUAUUCUCUCUCUCACUCACUCUGUACAGAUGUUCAUCUCUUCUCAAUUCUACUCAAUUGCUCAAAGCUGAUCCGAUCUCAAUUCUCACUAUGUAUUUCUCAGUAAAAUCUCCUCUUCUGUAAAUUUAUGCACGUAUACAGAGUUUUAGACUGUUAGUUUUGGUUGUGAAUUAGCAAGGAGAGAAACAAUGGGGUGCACACAAUCGAAGAUCGAGAAUGAAGAAACUGUGACCCGAUGCAAAGAGCGAAAGUUUUUCAUGAAAGAAGCUGUAUCUUCCCGUAACGCUUUCGCCGCCGCCCACUCCGCUUACACUAUGUCUCUCAAAAACACUGGUGCUGCCCUUAGCGAUUACGCUCACGGCGAAGUUCAAUUCCCUUCUACUGCCGCCGUCGCCGCCUCCACCUCUUCCCCCUUACCCGGUGGUACUCCUCCCCUCUCUUCCACCCCCUUAGACAUGCCUCCUCCUCCUCCCCUCCCUCCGUUUUCCAAUCCUUCUUUCCCACCUUCCCCUCUUCAGCGUGCUGCCACUAUGCCCGAAAUAUCCAUCCCCGCACCUGAACCAAAACGAUCCGAUAUGAUUAUAGAAGAGGAAAACGAGGAUGAUAUGGAAACUGAAAGCACGCAUAGUUUAAGGCAUCGCAGUAGUAAAAGUAGCGGCGGAGGCGGUGGUGGAGGAAUUGGGGGAUUGCAAACGUCUCCUUCUCCACCACGGACACCGCCACAGAAUAAUCGAGCGCCUCCUCCUCCACCGCCGCCAGAUAGCAAGGGGAUGGCAUCCAUGUCAUGGGAUUUUUUCUUCCCUUCAAUGGACAACGUCCCUACCUGAACCGAAACGAUCCGAUAUGAUUAUAGAAGAGGAAAACGAGGAUGAUAUGGAAACUGAAAGCACUCAUAGUUUAAGGCAUCGUAGUAGUAAAAGUAGCGGCGGCGGCGGUGGUGCUGGAGGAAUUGGGGGAUUGCAAACGCCUCCUUCUCCACCACGGACACCGCCACAGAAUAAUCGAG